rnacentral:rRNA from 1 species
GAUGAACGCUGGCGGCGUGCCUAAUACAUGCAAGUCGAGCGAAUGGAUUAAGAGCUUGCUCUUAUGAAGUUAGCGGCGGACGGGUGAGUAACACGUGGGUAACCUGCCCAUAAGACUGGGAUAACUCCGGGAAACCGGGGCUAAUACCGGAUAAUAUUUUGAACUGCAUGGUUCAAAAUUGAAAGGCGGCUUCGGCUGUCACUUAUGGAUGGACCCGCGUCGCAUUAGCUAGUUGGUGAGGUAACGGCUCACCAAGGCAACGAUGCGUAGCCGGCCUGAGAGGGUGAUCGGCCAAACGGGGACUGAGACACGGCCCAGACUCCUACGGGAGGCAGCAGUAGGGAAUCUUCCGCAAUGGACGAAAGUCUGACGGAGCAACGCCGCGUGAGUGAUGAAGGCUUUCGGGUCGUAAAACUCUGUUGUUAGGGAAGAACAAGUGCUAGUUGAAUAAGCUGGCACCUUGACGGUACCUAACCAGAAAGCCACGGCUAACUACGUGCCAGCAGCCGCCGUAA